rnacentral:rRNA from 1 species
AUACGGAGGGUCCGAGCGUUAAUCGGAAUUACUGGGCGUAAAGCGUACGUAGGUGGCUUGAUUAGUCGGAUGUGAAAGCCCUGGGCUCAACCUGGGAACUGCAUUCGAUACUGUCAGGCUAGAGUAUAGUAGAGGGAAGUGGAAUUCCGGGUGUAGCGGUGAAAUGCGUAGAUAUCCGGAGGAACACCAGUGGCGAAGGCGGCUUCCUGGACUAAUACUGACGCUGAGGUGCGAAAGCGUGGGUAGCAAACAGGAUUAGAAACCCCGGUAGUCC